rnacentral:rRNA from 1 species
UACGUAGGGGCCUAGCGUUGUCCGGAUUUAUUGGGCGUAAAGAGCUCGUAGGCGGUUUGGUAAGUCGGGUGUGAAAUCUCCACGCUCACGUGGAGGGGCCACCGAAUGACUGCCAUGACUGGAGUCCGGUAGGGGAGUGUGGAAUUCCCGGUGUAAGCGGUGAAAUGCGCAGAUAUCGGGAGGAACACCAGUAGCGAAGGCGACACUCUGGGCCGGAACUGACGACUGAGGGAGGCGAAAACGUGGGGACCAAGCAGGGAUA